rnacentral:rRNA from 1 species
AUUAAGUCGGAGGAAGGUGGGGAUGACGUCAAGUCAGCAUGACCUUUAUAUCCAGGGCUACACACACGCUACAAUGGCCAGUACAAUGGGUUGCCAAGCCGCGAGGCGGAGCCAAUCCUAAAAAGCUGGCCUCAGUUCAGAUUGCAGUCUGCAACUCGACUGCAUGAAGUUGGAGUUGCUAGUAACCGCAGGUCAGCAAUACUGCGGUGAAUACGUUCCCGGGGGAUU